GCACAGUUGCCCGAGAGGAAAGGGAGUUGAUUGCAAACCAAAUGUUCACAGGUUCGAAUCCUGUACUGUGCUCAA
rnacentral:tRNA from 1 species